UACAAGUUAGUAAGAAUAAAAUCAAGAGAGAGCAGCUGUGAGAUGGAGAGGCAGCAGAUGCUUGUCUACACAAGCAGUUAAUUCAGAAUGAAAAAAAAUAAAAGGAAGGAAGAGUAUUCUGAGCCUAGUGAAUUAAUUGUUGUGGAGGUCAUAAGAGGUCCUGUGAAAAUAUCUUCAAAUUUAACUAAUAUUAACAUCACAGAGCAGCAGACAACAUGCAACAAUCUCCAGUAGAAUGAGAAGAGACUGAUACAGAAACCUACCUAAGAUUGCCUCAUCUUUUCCAGAAGCAUGAGGUUUUUGCUUCAUAUCCCUGCUCCACAAUCUGACAGAGGAAGGAUUUGAAUUUAUAUAUCUGACAUCAAGUCAAGCAAGUGUUACAUGAAACAUCUUUCCUUGAAAGAAAGCUGCUGAGUGGUACAAAGACAAGAUGAUGCCUGCUGGGUUCCCCGCAUUCAGCUUCCUACUUCUCUCAAGAACAAGCUCCAGUGUAUGUCUUUGCCAGCAGGGCAUACUGAAGGGGUCUCUGAUCUCAAAAGGCAAGGCUAGGUUUGAACUUGUCCUUUAUUCAGAGCAAUUACAAGGUAUCUCUCAUCCAUUCAGCCACUGGUGUGCGUGCUGCUAAUGGGAGCCUAAUUACCUCCACCUUUCUUCCAAUUGUCGUGGGAAUUAGGUGGUGGGUUCAGAAGUUACUGGCAGAGUUGUUCAUCUAGGUUGCUAACAGGACUGCUGCUAAUUAGAUUACUAAUGUAUCUGGUUCUUUCUAUGCAGACAUUUCUUUUUUAUCCCAGCUGAUGAACUGAUGCCACAUCUUCAUUGCAAUAGAACAAUCUCAGUUCACUCACUUUCUAAUUGGCAAUUUGUGCAAAUUAAUCACUAUGGUUUGGGUGCAACCUGCUAUCAACAUGUCUGACAUGAAGAUUUAUAAUGAUGCCUGACAGCUGUACCUCUAAACCUGUUU